AUUGAACGCUGGCGGCAGGCCUAACACAUGCAAGUCGAGCGGAUGAAGGGAGCUUGCUCCUGGAUUCAGCGGCGGACGGGUGAGUAAUGCCUAGGAAUCUGCCUGGUAGUGGGGGAUAACGUCCGGAAACGGGCGCUAAUACCGCAUACGUCCUGAGGGAGAAAGUGGGGGAUCUUCGGACCUCACGCUAUCAGAUGAGCCUAGGUCGGAUUAGCUAGUUGGUGGGGUAAAGGCCUACCAAGGCGACGAUCCGUAACUGGUCUGAGAGGAUGAUCAGUCACACGGGAAAGUAGACACGGUCCAUACUACUACGGGAGGCAGCGGGGGGGAGUAGGGGACAAGGGGAGAAAGUAGGAGACAUCUAUGAGGCGGGUGUGAAGAAGGUAUUCGGAUUGUAUAACACUUUAAGUUGGGAGAAAGGGCAGUAAGUUAAUACCUUGCUGUCUGGACGUUACCAACAGAAUAAGCACCGGCUAACUUCGUG
rnacentral:rRNA from 1 species